UACGGAGGGGGCUAGCGUUGUUCGGAAUUACUGGGCUUAAAGCGCGCGUAGGCGGCUUAGUAAGUUAGGGGUGAAAUCCCGGGGCUUAACUUCCGAAUUGCCUUCAAGACUGCUUGGCUUGAGUUCGGGAGAGGUGAGUGGAAUUCACAGUGUAGCGGUGAAAUUCGUAGAGAUUGGGAAGAACACCAGUGGUGAAGGCGGCUUACUGGCGUGCAACUGACGCUGAGGCGCGAAAGCGUGGGGAGCAAACAGG
rnacentral:rRNA from 1 species